AAUAGAUACCCCGGUAGUCCACGCCGUAAACGAUGGAUACUAGCUGUUGGGGGCGACCUCAGUGGCUAAGCGAAAGUGAUAAGUAUCCCACCUGGGAAGUACGUUCGCAAGAAUGAAACUCAAAGGAAUUGACGGGGGCCCGCACAAGCGGUGGAGCAUGUGGUUUAAUUCGAUGAUACGCGAGGAACCUUACCAAGGCUUAAAUGCAGACUGACCGUUUUGGAAACAGAACUUUCGCAAGACAGUCUACAAGGUGCUGCAUGGUUGUCGUCAGCUCGUGCCGUGAGGUGUCAGGUUAAGUCCUAUAACGAGCGCAACCCCUGUUGUUAGUUGCCAGCGAGUAGUGUCGGGAACUCUAACAAGACUGCCAGUGCAAACUGUGAGGAAGGUGGGGAUGACGUCAAAUCAUCACGGCCCUUACGCCUUGGGCUACACACGUGCUACAAUGGCCGGUACAGAGAGCAGCCACCUCGCGAGGGGGAGCGGAAUCUACAAAGCCGGUCACAGUUCGGAUCGGAGUCUGCAACUCGAC
rnacentral:rRNA from 1 species